AUUUAUUUUGUACAUCCUCCUUGCAUACAAGCUUCCAGACAUCAAACACUUGAGACCUUUCUCCAGACAUCAAAGUCUCCUGUCCGGUCCUUGGAGAGGUCUGCGGAUCCUAACGUCACACGUAUAAAGACAGCUACAGGCGAUGUAACCCAAGACACUCGGGCUCCGUCUGGUUCUCUCUCUGAUUUCCAACUGUUCAAGGGAUUUGUUUGAGUGUCAGGCUAUAGACGGGGCUACUUUUGGACAGCUACCAGCCUUUGUGAGAGUGAUGUUCCAGCCCAACCAUUACAGCUAGGGAAAGCACUGCUCUACAUCCACACUUUUGUCCCUACCCCCACAUCUAAUGCUUUUUGCAGCUGCACAAGAGUGGAGGUGUUUCCACGAUCAAAUUGCACAAAUUGAGAAGGAAGCAAAAAGCAUGGCCCCUUAAGGACAAAGAAGGAAUUUGAAGUCUGCUAGAAAGGAUGCAUUAAAAGUAGGACAGAUGGCUGAAACGAUGAUUAGUGGAUAAAGGGAUUUCUAAAUCCUCUUACCUUUGCAAACAUCUAAUUGAAGUAGUAUCCACGCUCUCUGUGUGAGUACAGCUCUGGGUGAUUUCCUUUCUCGGUUUGGCAGAGCUUUUCAGACCGCUGCAUACGGAGUCAAAGUAUAUGUUCUGAUCCCACUGUUGGAGCACUUGCUCUGCUAAUGUACUUUCAGCAGUUAUGAUAAACUGACUGAGAGCAGGUGAGAUGAGUUAUAAGUAGGGCCUGCGAGCUGUAUGCAUAUAACUUAAAUAUAUCCAAUUUGGUGCUUUUUCUGUAAGCAGUGUGUGGUGUACCUGUAGUCACAGCAUGCACUUAUAUCUACACAUAAAGUAGUAUUACACGGCACACAUACAGUACAAUGCAGAUUUAAAAUGGUUAUGUGUCCCCUCGGUGUGUGAUUCACAUUAAAUACAUCUCAAAAACAGCAUAAGCAUGUUCCUCACCAUCAAAGUACAAGCAGACGUCAUGUUAGGUCCUCACCGUGCAGUGAUCACAGCUUGGCAGACGAGCAGAGCAACGAAACAAACACACAUGAAAAGAAUGAUUAGACUGGUGGGUGACUCACUUGAUAUUUCUGUAAUUAGCAUUCAUGGAUCUUUCUUUAUCUUUCCUUCACAACACCAUCUGGUCUGCACAGGAGUAAAAACUAAAACUGUCUCACGGUUUAAUCAAUUACCAGUGAUAAACAAUAUUUCAUUUUCUGGGCUGAAAUUAGUUUAAUUUUGAAGAAUUCAU